AAAUGUCUACAUCAUAGCGUUAAUGCAUCGGAUCCCGUUAGAACUCUGCAGUUAAGUGUGCUCAGGCUAGAGUAGUACUGGGAUGGGUGACCACCUGGGAAGUCCUAGUAUUUUACAUGCC
rnacentral:rRNA from 1 species